CUCAAGUAUUAAAAGUUAAAAUCCUCCUUGCCCCAGGUGCAAGUGCAGGUGAUUGGUUAGACCCUACUUGCCCUAGGCGCAAGUACUGGCACCGAUCUAAGUCUUCCUCACCCCAGGUGUGAGCGCAAGCAGUUAAAGGUUUGAAAAGCCAGGGGUGCUAGUAAGACCAAGGGAGGGAAAGGAAAGGUUUUGACAAAACGUCCUUACCCACUUGGCAUACACCAAUAUUGGCCCAGUAAGACUCUUAGUCCGAAACCCUUCUCACCCCAGGAGUGAGGCAGGGAAUGAGC
rnacentral:lncRNA from 1 species